GGCUCGGUAGCUCAGUUGGUAGAGCAGAGGACUGAAAAUCCUUGUGUCACCGGUUCGAUUCCGGUCUGAGCCACCA
rnacentral:tRNA from 2 species